rnacentral:rRNA from 1 species
GUGCCAGCCGCCGCGGUAAUACGGAGGGUGCAAGCGUUAAUCGGAAUUACUGGGCGUAAAGAGUGCGUAGGUGGUUUGGUAAGUUAUCUGUGAAAUCCCUGGGCUCAACCUGGGCAGGUCAGAUAAUACUGCUGAACUCGAGUAUGGGAGAGGGUAGUGGAAUUUCCGGUGUAGCGGUGAAAUGCGUAGAGAUCGGAAGGAACACCAGUGGCGAAGGCGGCUACCUGGCCUAAUACUGACACUGAGGCACGAAAGCGUGGGGAGCAAACAGGAUUAGAUACCCUGGUAGUCCACGCCGUAAACGAUGUCAACUAGCUGUUGGUUAUAUGAAUAUAAUUAGUGGCGCAGCAAACGCGAUAAGUUGACCGCCUGGGGAGUACGGUCGCAAGAUUAAAACUCAAAUGAAUUGACGG